UGGGGUGUAACUCAGUGGUAGAGCACUUGCCUAGCAUGUGUGAGGCACUGGGUUCAAUCCUCAGCAUCACAU
rnacentral:tRNA from 1 species